rnacentral:rRNA from 1 species
GUGGGGUAACGGCCUACCAAGGCGAUUACGGGUAGCCGGCCUGAGAGGGCGACCGGCCACACUGGGACUGAGACACGGCCCAGACUCCUGCGGGAGGCAGCAGUGGGGAAUAUUGCGCAAUGGGCGAAAGCCUGACGCAGCGACGCCGCGUGGGGGAUGACGGCCUUCGGGUUGUAAACCUCUUUUACCACCAACGCAGGCUCCGGGUUCUCCCGGGGUUGACGGUAGGUGGGGAAUAAGGACCGGCUAACUACGUGCCAGCAGCCGCGGUAAUACGUAGGGUCCGAGCGUUGUCCGGAAUUAUUGGGCGUAAAGAGCUCGUAGGCGGCGUGUCGCGUCUGCUGUGAAAGACCGGGGCUUAACUCCGGUUCUGCAGUGGAUACGGGCAUGCUAGAGGUAGGUAGGGGAGACUGGAAUUCCUGGUGUAGCGGUGAAAUGCGCAGAUAUCAGGAGGAACACCGGUGGCGAAGGCGGGUCUCUGGGCCGAUACUGACGCUGAGGAGCGAAAGCGUGGGGAGCGAACAGGAUUAGAUACCCUGGUAGUCCACGCCGUAAACGUUGGGCGCUAGGUGUGGGGAACCUUCCACGUUCUCCGUGCCGCAGCUAACGCAUUAAGCG